GACGAACGCUGGCGGCGUGCCUAACACAUGCAAGUCGAACGGAGAUGUUGAUUUCGGUUGACGUCUUAGUGGCGAACGGGUGAGUAACGCGUGAACAAUCUGACCUUAAGAGGGGGAUAACAACGAGAAAUCGUUGCUAAUACCGCAUAAGACCACAAUGCCGCAUGGCGAAGGGGUCAAAGGAGCAAUCCGCUUAAGGAGGGGUUCGCGUCCCAUUAGGUAGUAGGUGAGGUAACGGCCCACCUAGCCGACGAUGGGUAGCCGAGCUGAGAGGCUGAUCGGCGACACUGGAACUGAGACACGGUCCAGACUCCUACGGGAGGCAGCAGUGGGGAAUAUUGGGCAAUGGGCGCAAGCCUGACCCAGCAACGCCGCGUGAGGGAAGAAGGUUUUCGGAUUGUAAACCUCUGUCGCAGAUGACGAAACAAAUGACGGUAAUCUGUGAGGAAGCCCCGGCUAACUACGUGCCAGCCGCCGCGGUAAGAC
rnacentral:rRNA from 1 species